CCCUGUUCCCUCCCAGUGGGCAAGCUCAGAGUCUCACCCAUCAGACCCUGUGUCUAAAAGCCAAGGUCGGAUCUCCAGUGGUGCCCAGUGGAGCAGAGGUCUCCAGGGGGUCAGACAAAUUUGCAUGAACAGCCCCUGCAGGCAAAUGGAGAACUUCAAAAAGGCCUGGGCAGCCCAGCCCAGCACGCGGGUUCAAGAGGUCUGAGUCCACCAUGGCCUGGACCCCCCUCCUCCUCGUACUCCUCUCUCACUGCACAGGUUCCCUGUCCCAGCCUGUGCUGACUCAGCCGCCCUCCCUCUCUGCAUCCCUGGGAUCAUCGGGCAGACUCACCUGCACCCUGAGCAGUGGCUUCAGUGUUGGUAGCUACAGCAUACGCUGGUACCAGCAGAAGCCAGGAAGCCCUCCCCGGUACCUCCUGAGCUACUACUCAGACUCAAGUAAGCACCAGGGCUCCGGGGUCCCCAGCCGCUUCUCUGGCUCCAAAGAUGCCUCGGCCAACGCAGGGAUCCUGCACAUCUCUGGGCUGCAGCCUGAGGACGAGGCCGACUAUUACUGUAAUAUAUGGGAUGGCAGCGCUAAGACUUACACAGUGAUCGAGACACACGGGGAAGUGAGACAAAAAUCUGUCCCUGUUCUUCUGGCCUGGUGCUGUCACCCUUGGCUUGUGGCUCUGACAAAGUCUGCCUCAGGCGGUGGCUUCUGUUGUCAGAUUUUCUACCAAUACCUGAUUUUUCUUGGACGAAUAAAUCUGACAAUGUUAUAUCCUACUGUUGAAUUCAACUUUUCCAUUGACCCACUGCUCAAAUUUCUUCACCCUGUGCAUGUUGUGUAG